AUGGCGAAUAAUACAAAAGUAACAGAGUUUCUCCUGCUAGGACUCACCAAUGACCCAGGAUUACAGCUUCCACUCUUCAUGAAGUUUCUCCUCAUCCAUACCAUUGCCCGGGUGGGAAAUCUGGGGAUCAUUCUGCUGAUUUUCCUAGACUCUUGUCUCCACACUCCCAUGUACUUUUUCUAUGCAAUCUGUCCUUGGUGGACUUUUGUUACUCCUCGGCUGUCAUACCUAGAGUCAUGACUAGGAUCCUAAUAGGAGACAAAUUCAUUUCCUAUAAUGAGUGUGCUACUCAGAUGUUCUGUUUUGUAGUCUUUGCUACUGUGGAAAAUUACCUGUUGGCCUCAAAGGCCUAUGAUCACUAUGCAGCAGUGUGUGAGCCCUUGCACUAUUCCACCACUAUGACUACAAGUCUGUGUGUGUGUGUGUGUGUGUAUUCUUAUGUGUGUGGUUUCCUCAAUGCCUCCAGCCACACU
rnacentral:lncRNA from 1 species